rnacentral:rRNA from 1 species
UACGGAGGGAGCUAGCGUUGUUCGGAAUUACUGGGCGUAAAGCGCGCGUAGGCGGCUUUGUAAGUUAGAGGUGAAAGCCCGGAGCUCAACUCCGGAACUGCCUUUAAAAACUGCAUCGCUUGAAUCCAGGAGAGGUGAGUGGAAUUCCGAGUGUAGAGGUGAAAUUCGUAGAUAUUCGGAAGAACACCAGUGGCGAAGGCGGCUCACUGGAUCUGGGUAUUG